ACUGACCACAGGGCAACGGAUUGUCUGAUGCGCACUGCUCACUUCACUGGAAAUGCCUACCACCAACAGCACAAUGGUCCUCAAUGUGAACGACAGGAGUAUACUACAUGCACGUCUACAGAAACUACACACACAGAGAGACCAUCGCCAUGGCGAGCCUUUUGGGAGGAGGUAGUCCAGGAGCAGGUGUUCUGGCUUUGGGAGAGAGUGGAUUAAACCUCCAGGGGGAAGAAACAAUGGCAAAUGAUUGCAGUCUUCAGGCAAAUGGUCUCUUACAGUAAAACAGCUCCCAUCUAACCUACACUGUGGCAAAGCCCACUUGUUGGUAUAGACCCUUCUGGACCCAAUCAUUAAUGAGGCGGACCUAGCGAUGACAUCACACCCAAGCACACUGUCCCUAUCACUGUCAGCAAUACCAGUUGAUAAUGAAACGCACAGUAUUUUACAGCAUGCACUGUAGCAACAUUUUCAUUGAUACAAUUUGAAAGUAGGCUGUUGUGUGCUAAUUCUUAGUAAUUUAGACCUAAUGAGACACAAAUAAGACAAAGGUGAUGAUAUAACUAACACUAAUGGACUAUAUGCCACGGAAAGCUCCUUAGCCAGCUCAUAUAUUUCCAGUGGAGUGUCAGUUGUGUUGUAACGGCAUCUUCUGUUAAAUUCCGUUCUUUUCAUGUUCACUCUGACACUAAAUAUCUUGUUUAUGCCCAUCAGGGCAACUCUUUAUUUAACUCUGGCACACACACACAAAUCCUUCAGCAUCGUAACGUGCUCAUUCACUAGGUGCAACACCCAACCAAGUCCGUGUAAACAGGUGCACUAAAACAAUAGUCGCUACAACAAAGCUGAUGUAAAUAUUUGAGCUGGCUAGAGAGCACUCCAGAAAAGGCAUAUAGGCAGUUACUACAGCUUUCACUUUUGCUGAUGCGUGGUGCCAACUGAAGUUGAAGUCAAGAUUGGUGAGGUCUGUUCGACUGAAAUUCCAAUUUCCCGGUCCAAAUGGAACACACAGUAACCUCUAGCUGCAGACCAACAACUGGUGAAUCUUUAUGUGAUGCCAUGCUGUCUCUCCCUCUGUAUUGACCAUUACACAUAAAAAUCUGUUCCUGAUUUUUCCCCCCACAUGUUUUG